rnacentral:rRNA from 1 species
UACGGAGGGGGCUAGCGUUGUCCGGAUUUAUUGGGCGUAAAGAGCGUGUAGGCGGCUGGGUAGGUCUGCUGUGAAAACUCGAGGCUCAACCUCGAGACGUCGGCGGAAACCCUCCAGCUAGAGUCCGGAAGAGGAGAGUGGAAUUCUUGGUGUAGCGGUGAAAUGCGUAGAUAUCAAGAGGAACACCUGAGGUGAAGACGGGUUGCUGGGCCGACACUGACGCUGAGUGCGCGAAAGCCAGGGGAGCAAACGGG